GCUCUUAGUUCAGUUCGGUAGAACGCGGGUCUCCAAAACCCGAUGUCGUAGGUUCAAAGGAGGGCGGGAUCCCUUAACUUUUAAGGGGUCCG